rnacentral:rRNA from 1 species
UUUAUUGGAGAGUUUGAUCCUGGCUCAGGACGAACGCUGGCGGCAUGCCUAAUACAUGCAAGUCGAGCGGACUUGAAGAGAAGCUUGCUUCUCUGAUAGUUAGCGGCGGACGGGUGAGUAACACGUAGGCAACCUGCCCUCAAGUUUGGGACAACUACCGGAAACGGUAGCUAAUACCGAAUAGUUGUUUUCUUCGCCUGAAGGAAACUGGAAAGACGGAGCAAUCUGUCACUUGGGGAUGGGCCUGCGGCGCAUUAGCUA